ACAUUAUCAAUAACAGUGUUUAAUAUAAUUC
rfam:Pteropus alecto contig58512, whole genome shotgun sequence.